CCUACGGGUGGCUGCAGUAAGGAAUAUUGGACAAUGGGCGCAAGCCUGAUCCAGCCAUGCCGCGUGCAGGAUGACGGCCCUAUGGGUUGUAAACUGCUUUUAUACGGGAAAAAACCCCUCUACGUUUAGAGGGCUGAUGGUACCGUAAGAAUAAGGAUCGGCUAACUCCGUGCCAGCAGCCGCGGUAAUACGGAGGAUCCGAGCGUUAUUCGGAUUUAUUGGUUUGUAGGGGUACGUGGAAGUCUGUGGAGAAAGCCUGCAGCUUAACUGUAGAACUGCCAUUGAUACUGCAAGUCUUGAGUACAUAUGAUGUGGGCGGAAUGUGUAGUGUAGCGGUGAAAUGCUUAGAUAUUACACAGAACACCAAUUGCGAAGGCAGCUCACAAAACUGUAACUGACGCUGAGGCACGAAAGCGUGGGGAGUGAACAGGAUUAGAUACCCUUGUAGUC
rnacentral:rRNA from 1 species